rnacentral:rRNA from 1 species
ACUAAAUAGAUACCCGGGUAGUCCCAGCCGUAAACGAUGCUCGCUAGGUGUCAGGCAUGGCGCGACCGUGUCUGGUGCCGCAGGGAAGCCGUGAAGCGAGCCACCUGGGAAGUACGGCCGCAAGGCUGAAACUUAAAGGAAUUGGCGGGGGAGCACAACAACGGGUGGAGCCUGCGGUUUAAUUGGACUCAACGCCGGACAACUCACCGGGGGCGGACAGCAAUAUGUAGGCCAGGCUGAAGACCUUGCCUGAAUCGCUGAGAGGAGGUGCAUGGCCGUCGCCAGUUCGUACUGUGAAGCAUCCUGUUAAGUCAGGCAACGAGCGAGACCCGUGCCCACUGUUACCAGCAUGUCCUCCGGGACGAUGGGUACUCUGUGGGGACCGCCGAUGUUAAAUCGGAGGAAGGUGCGGGCCACGGUAGGUCAGUAUGCCCCGAAUCUCCCGGGGCUACACGCGGGCUACAAUGGAUGGGACAAUGGGU